AUACACGCACACACACACACUCACGAC
rnacentral:rRNA from 1 species